GACGAACGCUGGCGGCGUGCCUAAUACAUGCAAGUCGAGCGAAGUUUUUCUGGUGCUUGCACUAGAAAAACUUAGCGGCGAACGGGUGAGUAACACGUAAAGAACCUGCCUCAUAGACUGGGACAACUAUUGGAAACGAUAGCUAAUACCGGAUAACAGUAUUUCUCGCAUGAGAGAUAUUUAAAAGUUGGUUAUGCUAACACUAUGAGAUGGCUUUGCGGUGCAUUAGCUAGUUGGUGGGGUAAAGGCCCACCAAGGCGACGAUGCAUAGCCGACCUGAGAGGGUGAUCGGCCACACUGGGACUGAGACACGGCCCAGACUCCUACGGGAGGCAGCAGUAGGGAAUCUUCCGCAAUGGGCGAAAGCCUGACGGAGCAACGCCGCGUGAGUGAAGAAGGAUUUCGGUUCGUAAAGCUCUGUUGUUAGGGAUGAAUGGAUAUGUAGUAACUAUACAUGUAAGAGACGGUACCUAACCAGAAAGCCACGGCUAACUACGUG
rnacentral:rRNA from 1 species